rnacentral:rRNA from 1 species
AAACCGUUGAAAGGGAAGCGAAUGGAGUUAGCAAUUCGCCCUGCCAGAUUCAGUCUUACGCGUUCCGCGACGGGCGCGCACUCGAUCUACGUAGACGAGUCGUGUUCGGACGCGGCACGGGAGAGGCGCAUUUAUGGCGGGCGAGCGUCAACGUCGGUCUUCGUCGGGCUAAAAGGCCGUGAGGGAGGUGAACGGCCUUCGGGCCGUUGUUAUAACCUCGCGAGCGUAUGGCUCGACGAAGACCGUGRAGUCGCGACGCGCGCUUCCCUCCGGGGGGGCUGGUGUCCUGUUCUGUUGGUCCGGUUGUCGACCGUGGCGGACGGCACGCCUGUGCUCUCGAACUGCUGCCGGUCAACAGGGCGGUGAUCACACACUACGCGUCGAGGACGUUGACGACCAUACGGCUCUAUCCGACCCGUCUUGAAACACGGACC